rnacentral:rRNA from 1 species
UUYUUAAAGAAAUAAUUUUAAGUAAAAUYUGCUCAAUGACAAUUAAAUAGCCGCAGAACUUUUACUGUGCUAAGGUAGCAUAAUCAUUAGUCUUAUAAUUAAAGACCAGAAUGAAAGAUUAAACAUUUUAAAAACUUUUUUAAAACUUUUAUUUAAAAAUUUUACUAAACAUAAAAAUAUGUUUUUAAAAAAAAAAGACGACAAGACCCUGUCGAACUUUACUUUAGUUUAGCUGGGGAAGCUUAUUAAAAAUUAUUUUAAUUUAAAUGAUUAAAAAGAAGAUCCAACAUACAGGUUGAACUUACGAUCAAGUUACCGCAGGGAUAACAGCGUAAUUUAUUUUUAAAGCUCUUAUUUAAAAAAAAGAUUGCGACCUCGAUGUUGAAUUAAUUAACUUUAAUAACGCAAAUGUUUUAAAAGUAAGUCUGUUCGACUUUUAAAAAAUUACA